GACCUCGUAGCUCAGCUGGUAGAGCGUUUGCUGUCGAAAAGCGUAGGUGGCGUUCAUGCUUGGGUUGGAAUCCCACCGAGGUUA
rnacentral:tRNA from 1 species